GUUUCUAUGGUGUAGUGGUUAGCACAUCUGCCUUACACACAGAAGACCCUGGGUUCGAUUCCCAGGGGAACCA
rfam:Felis catus isolate Cinnamon breed Abyssinian chromosome B1, whole genome shotgun sequence.